AUUGAACGCUGGCGGCAUGCCUUACACAUGCAAGUCGAACGGUAACAGGUCUUCGGAUGCUGACGAGUGGCGAACGGGUGAGUAAUACAUCGGAACGUGCCUAGUAGUGGGGGAUAACUACUCGAAAGAGUGGCUAAUACCGCAUGAGAUCUACGGAUGAAAGCAGGGGAUCGCAAGACCUUGUGCUACUAGAGCGGCCGAUGGCAGAUUAGGUAGUUGGUGGGAUAAAAGCUUACCAAGCCGACGAUCUGUAGCUGGUCUGAGAGGACGAUCAGCCACACUGGGACUGAGACACGGCCCAGACUCCUACGGGAGGCAGCAGUGGGGAAUUUUGGACAAUGGGCGAAAGCCUGAUCCAGCAAUGCCGCGUGCAGGGUGAAGGCCUUCGGGUUGUAAACUGCUUUUGUACGGAACGAAAAGCCCUGGGUUAAUACCCUGGGGUCAUGACGGUACCGUAAGAAUAAGCACCGGCUAACUACGUGCCAGCCGCCGCGGUAAUAC
rnacentral:rRNA from 1 species